UGGUGCUUAGUUGCUGGCUGGGGCUAAACCACGACAGCAAUUCGAACCACCGUGAAGGAAUGGUUACAUCUUCUGGUCAGUACUUUUGAUGCCAACCUAUAUUCCAGCACUAUGGAUCGAUGUUUGGGUAUCAUCAGACUAAUUGGCUUGAUUCCCAGUAUACGAGCCCGGAGAUUGCACAGACUUGCGCAAUCCUUGGAUGAGAUGAUCAAGGCAGUCAUCUGUGAUGAAGGUAUUGAGAAGGAGUUUGGAAGGCUGUGGGUCAUGGCUGUUGGUGAUAAAGAUAAGAUUCCAUCUAUUUGGGACCCAAGAACCAUUACGGUGAUAUCAAAUUAAAUUGGCGGUGAGGAACCAGCCUCGGAAUGGGAGAUUCCCACUCCUAAAACCAUCUUUCUGAGACCCUGUAACUGGACAAAACAAGAAUUCAUAAAUUGGACCAAGUAGGCAUCCCAGGGCCAUGGUGUUUUCAACUUUGAGAAAGAUAAGAUCAGCAACAACUGGUUAGAAUUUUAUAGGGGCAUUCCCCACAGGAAGGUCCUCACAGCACUGUAAUUAAGAGCGAAUGUCUACCCCACGAGGGAAUUUCUGGCGCAGGGUAGACAGGAUACAUACAUCAAAGUGUGCCGACACUGCCAAGUGGAGAGCAAGACUUGUUUUCAUAUUAUUGGAUACUGCCCAGAGGUAUAAGAAGCAAGGAUAAAAAGGCGUAAUCAGUUAUGUGAAUUGUUGAGCGAAGAGGCUAAAAAGGAGGAGUGGGUUGUAUUCCAAAAAUGGUUGCUAAGGGAUGGACGAAAUUAGUUGUAUAAGCCAGACCUGGCCUUCGUGAAGGGAGACCAGGCAGUGGUGGUUGAUAUCACAGUGCAAUAUGAAAGUAAAGAAACAUCUAUAGUGGAUGCAGCUGUGGAGAAAGUUAUAAAAUGCCAACACUUAAGGGAGCAGAUACAGGAACUUACGAAUGCCAACUACAUAAAAUCAUGGGAUUCCCGCUUGGUGCACGAGGAAAGUGGCAUGAAGGCAAUUAUGAGUUGUUGAGGGACUUUGGACCCUCUAGUUCCCGACAGGAGAAGGUGGCUCGAAGAUUAUCAAACUGAGCCCUAUUCUCCUCCAUUGACAUUGUACAUGUUUGUUAGUAAAGUCGAACUAUUUUAAGGUCUUAAUAUUGUAGUUGAUUUGGUUUUCUAUUUAAGGUGGGAGCUGAACCCCAUUUUUUAAGGGCAACAAAAGCUUGGUUGAAGGUUGGUUCUCAGAUAGGGUGAGAUAGUAUGUAGGGAUCUUGGGGCUCAGGAUCAUGAUGCGUUACAUCCAAAUUCCCACCUAAGACAUUAACUACUGGUCUUGACCAAGGUGGACAGGCUACCUUUACUUAACCCUGGAAAGGAACAUGUAUAAUUUAUAUAUGUUCGUUAAAUAGCCAAAUACCUCAUCUUCUAAUUAGUGACAUGCAUGAAUGGAUGAACGAGAUUCCCACUGUCCCUACCUACUAUCCAGCGAAACCACAGCCAGGCCUUGGUGGAGUCAGCGGGGAAAGAAGACUCUGCUGAGCCUGACUCUAGUCUGGUGCUGUGAAGAGAUGAGAGGUGUGGAGUAAGUGGGAGGCCGGGUGUGCGCUCAGCGGUGUGGGGCGACCUGCCUGCCGGCGUCCCGGCCGUCAGUGAAAUACCACUACUCUGAUCGUUUUUUCACUUACCCAGUGAGGCGGGGAAGCAAGCCCCGAGGAGGGCUCUUUCUUCUGGUGCCAAGUGCCUGGUGCGCGCCGGGCGCAACCCGCUCCAGGAACAGCGGUAGGUGGGGAGUUUGACUGGGACAGUACACCUGUCAAAGCAUAACGCAGGUGUCCUAAGGUGAGCUCAGGGAGGACAGAAACCUCCCGCAGAGCAGAAGGGCAAAAGCUCUCUUGAUCUUGAUUUUCAAUACGAAUACAGACCGUGAAAGCAGGGCCUCACAAUCCUUCUGGUUUGGCUUUUUAGGUUUUAAGCAGGAGGUGUCAGAAAAGUUACCACAGGGCUAACUGGCUUGUGGCAGCCAAGAGUUCAUAGUGACGUUGCCUUUUGAUCCUUCGAUGUCAGCUCCACCUAUCAUUGUGAAGCAGAAUUCACCAAGCGUUGGAUUGUUCACCCACUAAUAGGGAACAUGAGCUGGGUUUAGACCAUCAUGAGACAGGUAAGUUUUACCCUACUGAUGAUGUGUUGUUGCAAUAGUAAUCCUGCUCAGUACAAGAGGAACUGCAGGUUCAGACCCCUGGUGCGUGUGCUUGGCUGAGGAGCCACUGGCGCGAGGCUGCCAUGUGCGGGCAUAUGACUGAACGCCUCUAAGUCAGAAUCCCGCCUAGACGUAGUGAUACAACAGUGCCACUGGUGCCUUGGCGGGCUAGCGACAGCUAGCUGCCUGCCCCCACGCAGGGCAGGCCCAGUGCGGAGCGCCUCUUGUAGUCAGGACCAGAGGGGUGGACAGAUGUGGCGCCACCUCUCCCCCGUCGCGUACCGCAUGAUCGUGGGGCACCCGGCACUAAAUCAUUUGUAGAUGACCUGAUUCUGGGUCAGGGUUUUGUAGGUAGCAGAGCAGCUCCCUCACUGUGAUCUAUUGAGAAACAGCCCUCCACACAAGCUUUUGU
rnacentral:ncRNA from 1 species